rnacentral:rRNA from 1 species
UACGUAGGGGCCGAGCGUUGUCCGGAGUUACUGGGCGUAAAGCGCGCGCAGGCGGCUCGUCAAGCCUGACGUGAAAGCCCCCCGGCUCAACCGGGGAGGGUCGUCGGGGACUGGCGAGCUUGAGGUCGGCAGGGGCUGGUGGAAUUCCCGGUGUAGUGGUGAAAUGCGUAGAGAUCGGGAGGAACACCCGUGGCGAAGGCGCCAGCUGGGCCGGACCUGACGCUGAGGCGCGAAGGCGUGGGGAGCGAAC